UGAGCUGUGGUGUAGGUCUUGCAUUGCUGUGGCUGUGACACAGGCCAGCAGCUGCAGAUCUGAUUCAAUCCCUAGCUUGGGGGCUUCCAUAUGCCACGGGUGCAGCCCUGAAAAGAAAAGAAAAAAAAAAAAAAAACAACUGGAAACAGUGCAGUGCAAUGCCUGGCCCUAGGCGUGCCCUCUGGAGAUGGCAUGAAUGCCUCCUAGCCACCCGAUUCCUAAUCCAAGUCUGUCUUCAGAAGCAUCCUGUACAUGAACACUUGGCCACUGUGCUCAUGCGGCUGUCACAGUAAUUAACUAGGAAUCCCACUCUGGCAACAGGCCAAGCUCUGAGGUGGGGCCUUUGCUUCCUGGUGGCUGCCUCAGCCCUGGUCCCUCAUCUCAGAGCCUGUACUAGGCAUGGCUCCCAAGCCUGUCCCCACCGCCUGAGUAUAUCCACAUGCUCACCGCUGCCCUCUCCACCACUGUCCUGACCCUGUUGCAGCAAGGCCCUCCUGCUUGACCAGCCAAGCCAGCCUCUUUCCAGCAGACACUGGGAAAUUGAAAAGGAGCGGGCAGGAAUCUUUUGGGAAGUAAGAAGGCGGGGAGACCCCAUAGCAACAAAACAGGUCAGAACAAUGUUUGAUGCCAGAAACUAGGCAAUUAUCCCAGCUUCUGGUCUUUUGAGAUAGUACAACAUGUCAGGUCAGGGAUGACUUGAAAAGCCAAUCCUCUCUCUUUACAAUUGAGAGGCCCAGAGAGGGUGAGGGACAAGCUCAAUGUCACACAGCAAGCACAGAGGAGCAAGGAGUCUGAUCAGGGCUACGGACUUGCCUGUGGCCACACUCUUCCUACUGCACUGGGCUCCCCCUCAUCUGGGGCUGGGUUUGAACUGGACUGGCUGACAGGGCAGUGUCAGUGCUUGAAGGCCCCCUGGUUCUGUUUCCCUCAAAAGAUCCCCCAAACCCUUUUGGCACACUGAUCCCCAAAAGCGUGAUGCCUGCCAUUUGUUUGUGCAGGUUCUGUGACAGCCGCCGAGGCAAUUGAAUGAGACCCCGUUCUCGGUCUCCUGAGGUUGUUGCUUGAUCUUCAUCUACUGUCAUUAUGUCAGUGGCUGCGAAGGGCUGGAAACCUACAUGACAUGAUCCACUUAGGGGAAGGGGACUGGGUUAUAUUAAGCCCCAACCUUCUGAGGUCAGCACCACAGAAUCAUAGACCUGCACAGCCGACAUAUGGAAACGUGGCUCCGAGAUUCCUAGCUGCCCCUGCUGGGAGCCCCACUCAGCAGGCUGAGGGUUUAUCUGUAUUAUUUAUUAGCUGACUCCUCCAGGGAUCUGAACUCCCUGCCGUGUUGGAAACUACUAAACCACAGCCCUCACUUUGUGGGGAAUCCCUUCCUCCACAUUCUGACAGAAGAGCAUUUAUUCAGGGACAGGAAGCUCACUACCUCAUAAAUGAGAAAGGUUCUGGCAGUAAGAGCACGGCAAGCUGAAAUUAGCCCUCCAGGACCCAGAUGGCCUUCUGUGGCGACCCGAGUCAAAUGUCUCUUCUUCCUCAGGGGCAAUAACCAGACUCUGUGCAAGCACACUCUUCAGACCCCUGGCCCACUAGUUGCUAUCCUUAGGUUGGAGGCUCCCAGCAUCCACCUGCCCUCACUAGUGAGACAUUCUCCUGUCCAGGGGCUCCAGGUAUGGGUCCCUGCCCCUCUCCUGCCCCCCAGCCCCCCACACCCAUCUUGUCAUGGGGGACUGUCUAACCACUCAAUGUACAGACACAGAAUCAAAAAUGUAACUGCAGGAUGGGACCUUAGCCCUCACCCAGCUCAACCCUCUCAUCUUCCUAGAGCGUUCUGAGACCCAAAGAGGGGAAGUGACCUACCCUGGGUCACCCAGCGAACCGAGCCCAUACUGGCUCAGUUUUCCAGCCAGAAAUUCCCCAUGCACGUCACGGAAGGCAGGGUGCUAACAAUGUCACAGCUGAGAGGAAGACUCCUUGGAGCCCUAGAAUCACGGCAAGGCCCAUCACCAGAAGCGGACAACCCCGCCCCCACCCCCAGCAUCCCUGGCCCCGGCUCCCAACCACAGGAGAGAUGCUCUAACCUGACAUCUCUGAAGCCCUGGGGCCCUCGGUGUCUGCCACCUGCUCACAGAGUGUGGGGGGCAUGGGGACAGAUAGCCCACAUCCCUCCUCUGGGUUAUUUAUAAAGUGUUUGGAGAUGAGUCAGGCACAGAGCUGCCCAGCCCCGGCAGAGAACGUUCCCUCGGAAAUGCUAUAAACCAUCCCGGGCUCAGGAAUUCCACCCUGACCCUUAAAAGCUCCUCACAGAAAGACUGAGGCAGGAAACUGGGACCCGCAGGGGUCUGUGGGGCUGUCCUGAUGCCCCCACUAGAGCCCUGGCAGGCUGGUCUUGUGGGGACGGAGGGGGGAACCCCGGGCAGAGGGAGGAGGGCCCUGGCCAGGCAUCCUCCCGGCAUAGACCACAGGCCUCUUUCCAGCCAGUGAGACAACCCCUGCACCUUCCCAAACCAGACUGACAGACAGACAAGCCCAAGAAGAUAGCUCCCACCCCCGCACCCCCGGGCGCUGGCUGUCCCACCUCCAUUCCUGAGUGUAAGGCGCUCCACCUCCGCCAACAGACCGGCUAUUUAUAACUCUCUGGAAGGGGAGCCGGAGCCUCCAAGCCUCUCCCUGCUUCCUGCUCCUGGCAGCACUCUAAUUACUUCCUCAGCUGGGUGCUGCCUGCCACGGGCACCCUGGCCGGGCCACCAUAAAUAACUGCCCCUCGGCUUCCCACGAGGCCGGCAGGUGCCCCCCCAGGGAGUGUGACCGGUCAGGAUCUCACCCCGAAGAAGAUGCAUGUCCUUCUGUGAGCCCCAACCGAGGGUGCAGGGGGUGUCUGGAACCCACCCUCUUCUCUACUGCCUGAGCCACAACCCUGGAGGGGCCACUUGUGCGCCUGGCACACUCCGAGAGAGAGUAGGGACAGGGAUGGUGACAGAUGAAUAAGCGCUGUCCGCCCUCCAGGGAGGCAAACACAUAAACAACUCAUUAUGCAAGAAGGAGGAAUGAAGUAAGUGCUAAAUUAAGAUACAAGCUGCUCCCAGGGCCUUCAGGCCCUCAAUCCUUCUCCCCUACUUUAUUUUUCUUAUUAUAAAAGCAAUACACAUUCCUUUAAAAACAAUUGCAAAUGUAGAUAACAAAAGGCAAUUUACAAUACACCCGUUACCCAGCCACCCAAGGACAGCCUCAUGCACACCUGAGGCCCAGACUUUUUUUAAACAGGGCAAGGUCAGAUAUCAGACCUAGGGGGUCCCAGAGACCCUCCGCCUACCUCCGAGACAGUCACUGGAGCAAUCAAAAUUUAUAAGAAGCGGAUAAAAAAUGUCAAAGCAAGAUAAUAUGGAGAGUAUGACAUGUUUCUAUAAAAGAGAAAAUUCACGAAUGACACAAAUGCCUUGAAAAUGUUUGGAAGGAUACAAACCAAAGAGUUAACACAGGUCAGCCACAGGGAAAGAAGCAGGAUGCAGGUGGGGAAGAGAUUUUUUUUUAUUUUUAUUUUUUUGGUCUUUUUGCUAUUUCUUGG
rnacentral:lncRNA from 1 species